AUGACCGAUGUAUUCCAGGGCUACGAGCGCCAGUACUGCGAGAUCUCGGCCUCCCUCUCCCGCAAAUGCACGGCCGCCGCCUCCCAGGAGGGAGAGAAACUGAAGCAGAAGGCCUCGGAGAUCAAAUCCGGAAUCGAUGGCGCCGAGGCACUGAUAAGGAAGAUGGAUCUUGAAGCAAGGAACCUCCAGCCGAGCGUGAGGGCCGGGCAACUGGCGAAACUGAGAGAGUACAAGUCGGAUCUUAACAAUCUGAAGGGGGCGUUGAAGAGAAUCACUGCUGGUAAUGGCCAACAAGGGGCGAGAGAGGAGUUGCUGGAGUCAGGAAUGGCAGAUACGUUGGUGGUAUCUGCUGAUCAAAGGUCAAGAUUGCUCAGGACAACGGAAAGGCAAAAUCAGACAACUGAUAGGAUCAGAGAUAGCCAUAGAACUAUGCUGGAAACAGAAGAGCUUGGAGUCUCCAUCAUGCAUGACUUGCAUCAGCAGCGCCAGUCUCUUUUGCAUGCUAAUGAUACGUUGCAUGACGUGGAUGACAACAUUGGCAAGAGCAGAAAGAUCAUGGGGGCCAUGGUGAGAAGGAUGGAUAGGAACAAGUGGAUUAUCGGCUUGCUGAUAGCCCUUCUUGUUUUAGCGAUCCUAGUAGUCCUGUAUUUCAAGUUUGUGCACUGA
rnacentral:rRNA from 1 species